AGGCGCGUAGCUCAGCUGGUUAGAGCACCACCUUGACAUGGUGGGGGUCGUUGGUUCGAUUCCAAUCGCGCCUA
rnacentral:tRNA from 3 species